CAUCACUACGCUAGAUGCAUAUCAAUAAGCGGAGGAAAAGAAACUAACAAGGAUUCCCCUAGUAACGGCGAGUGAAGCGGGAAGAGCUCAAAUUUGAAAUCUUCAAGGUUUGACCUUGACGAAUUGUAGUUUAAAAGAAGUGUUUUCGGUUAGAGGAGUAGUAAAAGUUCUUUGGAAUAGGACAUCAUAGAGGGUGAGAAUCCCGUAUUUGACUAUUCUUUCUAGCUUUGUGAUACACUUUCAAAGAGUCGGAUUGUUUGGGAAUGCAGUCCAAAAUGGGUGGUAAAUUUCAUCUAAAGCUAAAUAUUGGCGAGAGACCGAUAGCGAACAAGUACCGUGAGGGAAAGAUGAAAAGAACUUUGAAAAGAGAGUUAAACAGUACGUGAAAUUGUCAAAAGGGAAGCGUUUGACACCAGUGUUGUUUUUCCGAAAAUCAAUUAAAAAUUGAUUCAUGCCAGGUUGUAUUGACCUUAUCAACUUGCAAUUUGGUUUUGGGUCUCUUCUUGAUGCACUUUUCGGUUAACAAGUCAACAUCAAUUUCCUUUGCUGUAGAAAAGGUAAGAGGAAGGUGGCUUCAAUUUCGGUUGAAGUGUUUAUAGCCUUUUAUCUCUGCAGUCGGGGAGAUUGAGGUCUGCAGCGUAGAUCCUUCGGGGCUAGAUACAUUUAUGCUAAGUUAUAGCUUUUCAUAGACAACUUGUUGACUAUGCUUCAGUCAUGUAGCUUACUCGUAGAUGCUAUUUUACCUACGCUUAGGAUGUUGACACACGCGCGUGCUCG
rnacentral:rRNA from 1 species